AGGGCCGGGCCAUGAUCCAGGCCGACCUCGAC
rnacentral:scRNA from 1 species